rnacentral:rRNA from 1 species
AGCAGCCGCGGUAAUUCCAGCUCCAAUAGCGUAUAUUAAAGUUGUUGCAGUUAAAAAGCUCGUAGUUGAAUUUCGGGGUUAGUAGGUUGGUUAUGCCUCUGGUAUGUACUGGUCUCACUGAUUCCUCCUUCCUGAUGAGCCGUAAUGCCAUUAAUUUGGUGUUGCGGGGAAUUUGGACUGUUACUUUGAAAAAAUUAGAGUGUUUAAAGCAAGCUAACGCUUGAAUACAUUAGCAUGGAAUAAUGAAAUAGGACGUUCGAUCCUAUUUUGUUGGUUUCUAGGAUUGACGUAAUGAUUAAUAGGGAUAGUUGGGGGCAUUAGUAUUCAAUUGUCAGAGGUGAAAUUCUUGGAUUUAUUGAAGACUAACUACUGCGAAAGCAUUUGCCAAGGAUGUUUUCAUUAAUCAAGAACGAAAGUUAGGGGAUCGAAGACGAUCAGAUACCGUCGUAGUCUUAACCAUAAACUAUGCCGACUAGGGAUCGGAUGAUGUUAAUUUUUUAAUGACUCA